rnacentral:tRNA from 1 species
GGGCCCGUAGCUCAGCCAGGUAGAGCGGCGGACCAUGAGAAGGGCCGAAGCUCCAGUGUGCUACGGGUCUGAGGACCCUUUUUGGGGAUGAAAUAACUCUGGAGCGUUGAGGGGAGACCCGUAGGUCGGGGGUUCGAAUCCCCCCGGGCCCA